AACCUAGAAAAAAUUGCAAAAGAAUUGAUUCCGUAUGGGUCGUAUUCUCCUAUGUCUAAUUAAUACAAAGUGUUAUUUUCAAGUCUCAACUCAAUGGGGAAAGUGUUAAAAUUAAACGCUAAAAAUGGCGAAAAAUGCGAAUUUUUCUGAUGUCAAAUAAAGUACACCAUACAUGGUUUUCCAAUAAAUAUGACGUCAUAAAGUGACGUGCAACAGUACAACAUGGCGGGCAAAGUCAGUUUGACAGUUCUGCUGAUCGAUGUGGUAUCAACUGUGAUUUAAGGUUAUAAAGACGGUCACGUUGAUCAAUGAAAUACAGAUUGCGGAAGAAAUCAGUUACUCUUGUUUAAUGUGGCUUGUUACCUGCAAAUAUCAUUACUAUGGUUCAUACAUCGACGAGGGAAGUUGAAAGAAGGCAGUGGGGGCUGGUCAUUGGGAAUUUUUUAAGCAAAGGGCAAUGUAUGAUGGAUGACGGGCGAAAAGCAGAAGUUUAAGAUCGGAUGAGACGUUUGAUAUUAAGUGU